GAUGAAGAACGUAGUGAAAUGCGAUAAGUAAUGUGAAUUGCAGAACUCAGUGAAUCAUCGAAUCUUUGAACGCACAUUGCGCCCCUUGGUAUUCCGAGGGGCAUGCCUGUUCGAGCGUCAUUAUAACCCCUCAAGCUCAGCUUGGUGUUGGGGCCUGCUGCACUGGCAGCCCUUAAAAUCAGUGGCGGCGCCAUCUGGCUCUAAGCGUAGUAAUUCUUCUCGCUAUGGAGUCCUGGUGGAUGCUUGCCAUCAACCCCCAAUUUUUCUAUGGUUGACCUCGGAUCAGGUAGGGAUACCCGCUGAACUUAAGCAUAUCAAUAAGCGGAGGA
rnacentral:misc_RNA from 1 species